CAUGCUUAAAGACAAUGAAAACAGUCUUUGAGUAUACCAUGAGUCUCUCCAAGUGUUAUUGGUAUCAGGUUGUAAAACUGUUGUGCUGUAAAUUAUCCAUUUACCCUAGGGUGAAAGGGAGUUGAGAUCAAAGAUAGCUAAUUAGCAAUUUUACCUAGGUACAAGGCUAGGGUUUUUGAGAUCAGGCUAGGGUUUUUGAGAUCAGUUUAUAGGCUUCCCUACAAAUCCAUAAAUAUCAAAGGCAGAUGGCAUUUUUGUUUGGUGUGGGCUGCAGCCAUCUGAGAGGCAGAGAGGAGGAAAUAGAGGCAGCCAGUCCUGAACCUUAAGCAGAGAAAAUGUUGACUCUGUUGUUCACCAUGCAGAACAUGGAUGAGAGCUCACGCUCAGAGUGAAGACCGAGUUUAUAAGGAUUUAAAGGUGGCUCGAAGAUUCACUUAGCUUGGAGCUAGAGAGAAAUAAUCUACAGUGUAACCCUCACAGUAAAGGUCAAUCCUGGGAUUAGAGGUUUUACCUGGCUGUGAAAGUAAAAAGGAAAUAAGCCUUCGGGAGCGGAGCAUACUGCUUGGAGAAUGAAGUAACCACGUAAAGCAGAGUGCAACAUAUAACCAUAGCAGGAGAUUUUUGGUCGUGUUAAAAGGUCAUUUUUACAGCCAUCAGCCGUGGAUGGAGCCACUAUCAAUUGUUGUGAAGCAGCAUCUGUCCCAGCAUUCUUGGAUAUUCCUAAAAAAUACAACAUAUGAAAAUCUACAACCUAAGCCUUCAGAUUUAAAGAGCGAGCCGAAAUUACAGGCUGUAUAAGAUAGAAGUAAUCAAGUCUGGAUGUGACAAAAGAUAUGAACGAAGGUUACAGCAGCAGAUGGCUUCAUGUGAUGUUACAGCAGUGGAAGUAGGCAGCUAGUGUGAUGGAAGGACAUUGAUUCAGAAACUCAGCUUAGGUUCGACUAGAUAACAAGUUCGCAAACAAUCCUGUUAAACAUGAUGGUGCCAAGGGAUUGAGAUGCAGUGUGGAGUUGCACCAAAAACCAAAAAGCAGUGGGUUUCCCAAUGUUUAGCUGGAGGAAAUGAUGACUAAUCCAAAACAAGAUUUCGGAGAAGUAUUCCAGUAACGCAAGUGGAGGGGUCAAAAUAGGUGAUGGAGAGGUAGUGUGGGAUGUCACCAGCAUACAUGUGCAAUCCUCUCUGUGGAUGAUGUAUUGAGGAGGCAAGCAUUUAGAUGAGGGAAAAGGAGUCAAUGAUGGAUCCUUGGGGAACUUCUGAGGUAACGAUGUAGGGUUCAGAGGAGAAGCCAUUGUAACAAUGCAGUCAGUGUUAUUGAACAGGUAAGAGUGGAGCCAAAUGAAGACUGUCUAAACAAGCUGAACAAUAUAGGAGAGGCACUGGAAUGGUGCAAUUAACUAUUUCAGAUGGAAGGGGCUCAGAGAAGCAUACUGCACCUCAGUCAGAGUCACAAAAGAUAUUGUUUGUACCUUUCAAUGGACAGAUUUGGGAUGUGGAAAUGGGCAGAUAAGUGGCAGAUGGAAUUUAACCCUGAAAAGCAUGAGGUGAUACACUUUGGAAGGAGUAAUUUGACGAAGUAUUCAAUGAACGGCAUGAUACUAGGACGUUCUGAGGA